rnacentral:rRNA from 1 species
AAAUUGAAGAGUUUGAUCAUGGCUCAGAUUGAACGCUGGCGGCAGGCCUAACACAUGCAAGUCGAACGGUAACAGGAAUCAGCUUGCUGAUUCGCUGACGAGUGGCGGACGGGUGAGUAAUGUCUGGGAAACUGCCUGAUGGAGGGGGAUAACUACUGGAAACGGUAGCUAAUACCGCAUAAUGUCGCAAGACCAAAGAGGGGGACCUUCGGGCCUCUUGCCAUCGGAUGUGCCCAGAUGGGAUUAGCUAGUAGGUGGGGUAACGGCUCACCUAGGCGACGAUCCCUAGCUGGUCUGAGAGGAUGACCAGCCACACUGGAACUGAGACACGGUCCAGACUCCUACGGGAGGCAGCAGUGGGGAAUAUUGCACAAUGGGCGCAAGCCUGAUGCAGCCAUGCCGCGUGUAUGAAGAAGGCCUUCGGGUUGUAAAGUACUUUCAGCGGGGAGGAAGGGAGUAAAGUUAAUACCUUUGCUCAUUGACGUUACCCGCAGAAGAAGCACCGGCUAACUCCGUGCCAGCAGCCGCGGUAAUACGGAGGGUGCAAGCGUUAAUCGGAAUUACUGGGCGUAAAGCGCACGCAGGCGGUUUGUUAAGUCAGAUGUGAAAUCCCGGGCUCAACCUGGGAACUGCAUCUGAUACUGGCAAGCUUGAGUCUCGUAGAGGGGGUAGAAUUCCAGGUGUAGCGGUGAAAUGCGUAGAGAUCUGGAGGAAUACCGGUGGCGAAGGCGGCCCCCUGGACGAAGACUGACGCUCAGGUGCGAAAGCGUGGGGAGCAAACAGGAUUAGAUACCCUGGUAGUCCACGCCGUAAACGAUGUCGACUUGGAGGUUGUGCCCUUGAGGCGUGGCUUCCGGAGCUAACGCGUUAAGUCGACCGCCUGGGGAGUACGGCCGCAAGGUUAAAACUCAAAUGAAUUGACGGGGGCCCGCACAAGCGGUGGAGCAUGUGGUUUAAUUCGAUGCAACGCGAAGAACCUUACCUGGUCUUGACAUCCACGGAAGUUUUCAGAGAUGAGAAUGUGCCUUCGGAACCGUGAGACAGGUGCUGCAUGGCUGUCGUCAGCUCGUGUUGUGAAAUGUUGGGUUAAGUCCCGCAACGAGCGCAACCCUUAUCCUUUGUUGCCAGCGGUCCGGCCGGGAACUCAAAGGAGACUGCCAGUGAUAAACUGGAGGAAGGUGGGGAUGACGUCAAGUCAUCAUGGCCCUUACGACCAGGGCUACACACGUGCUACAAUGGCGCAUACAAAGAGAAGCGACCUCGCGAGAGCAAGCGGACCUCAUAAAGUGCGUCGUAGUCCGGAUUGGAGUCUGCAACUCGACUCCAUGAAGUCGGAAUCGCUAGUAAUCGUGGAUCAGAAUGCCACGGUGAAUACGUUCCGGGCCUUGUACACACCGCCCGUCACACCAUGGGAGUGGGUUGCAAAAGAAGUAGGUAGCUUAACCUUCGGGAGGGCGCUUACCACUUUGUGAUUCAUGACUGGGGUGAAGUCGUAACAAGGUAACCGUAGGGGAACCUGCGGUUGGAUCACCUCCUUACCUUAAAGAAGC